rnacentral:rRNA from 1 species
GUUGAACGCUGGCGGCAGGCCUAACACAUGCAAGUCGAGCGGAUGAAGGGAGCUUGCUCCUGGAUUCAGCGGCGGACGGGUGAGUAAUGCCUAGGAAUCUGCCUGGUAGUGGGGGAUAACGUCCGGAAACGGGCGCUAAUACCGCAUACGUCCUGAGGGAGAAAGUGGGGGAUCUUCGGACAUCACGCUAUCAGAUGAGCCUAGGUCGGAUUAGCUAGUUGGUGGGGUAAAGGCCUACCAAGGCGACGAUCCGUAACUGGUCUGAGAGGAUGAUCAGUCACACUGGAGCUGAGACACGGUCCAGGCUCCUACGGGAGGCAGCAGUGGGGAAUAUUGGACAGUGGGCGAAAGCCUGAUCCAGCCAUGCCGCGUGUGUGAAGAAGGUCUUCGGAUUGUAAAGCACUUUAAGUUGGGAGGAAGGGCAGUAAGUUAAUACCUUGCUGUUUUGACGUUACCAACAGAAUAAGCACCGGCUAACUUCGUG